UCAAUAUUUACACGCAUGUUUCCCUUCACAGAAGGAGCUUACUGCUAGUUUUGAAAAAGAAGCACACAGAUGACGUGUUAUGGAAAUGUGGAAAAUACAAAUGGGUGACUAUAUAUCAACAGCAGGACCCACAGGCUCUUUUAUGAAUGUGUGAUGGGAUAGAUUUUUAUCAAGACAGAAACAUACCUAGAAUUCUGUUGCCGUGUAGGUUUCUAUUUAUCUGAAACAAAGCAAGGGAAGAUGGCUGUAAACGCACGGGUAAAGGGUUGUUACAUUUCAGCCAUUUUCUUACUCUGAUCAUAGUUCCUGAUACCUAUCCAGCUCUCGAAAUACCUCGGAUUCAAUUGGCUAACAGACUAAAGAGAAUUAAUUGUUCCUGUGACAGAAAUCAGUUAUCCAGACCUAUCUGUUAGGUCACGAUCAGUUACCGAGCCCAAGUCCUCGCGUGAAACUCAGCCCAGCAAGAACUCAAAAUCAUUUUCAUUCACAUAAAGUCACUAACGGUGUCAAACCUCUCAUACUACCUUCAAAAGAAACACGUGGCCGGUGUUGAGAGCGGAAAUGUAACAGAAAGCUGAAUAAUGAGUUUGCGGUUGGAGAUUCUUUGGUGGCCCUACCUUGACAAUCUACUGAUACGUCUACUCUGCACAAAGGUCUCUGUGAGGGUCCCUGUCCUCACCCUUGAAAUCUGGGUGGGGAGAAGAGAUGGUAAGUUUUACGGUAUGUGGCUCUGCAGUCGGACCUAUGGGAAGAGCUUGCUUGGGGAGAGAUCUGUGAGGGCAAAUCAGGGUGGGGUCCGGCAGAGUUUGGUCCUGUGAAAGGAAGGUCUGUGAGCAUUCCAGGUAAGGAGAACCCCCGGAACAGGAGAGCCGAGACAGGGCCUUGCAGAAGAGGCUGAGGGUUCGGGGUGGAAAACGCCAAUGCCACAAGACCAGUUCAGAAGUCCAUCUACUUACUUCCAGUGUUUGUGGACAGAAUGACUUCUUUGUAGCUGUUCCUUUUCAGGGGAGUUAUUACAGAGCAAAAGACGUGUU
rnacentral:lncRNA from 1 species